UACGAAGGGGGCUAGCGUUGCUCGGAAUCACUGGGCGUAAAGGGUGCGUAGGCGGGUUUUAAGUCAAGGGUGAAAUCCUGGAGCUCAACUCCAGAACUGCCUUUGAUACUGAAGAUCUUGAGUCCGGGAGAGGUGAGUGGAACUGCGAGUGUAGAGGUGAAAUUCGUAGAUAUUCGCAAGAACACCAGUGGCGAAGGCGGCUCACUGGCCCGGUACUGACGCUGAGGUGCGAAAGCGUGGGAGCAACAGG
rnacentral:rRNA from 1 species